UUAGAGGUGGGUCUAUUGCAAAUGGAGACCAUAUCAUAGUCUCUGUCAAAAGAGCAAUACUACUUACCACUUCACAUAUUAGAGAAGAGUGAAAAAAUGACAACAGAAGCUGAGUUCUGAAAUGCACUGAGAUAUGAUGACAGACAAAAGCCAUCAUGGGGAUGAAGUGCAGGAGAGUAUCUCACUGUGUCUGCGGAAGAGCAGGCCCCCAAAACCAGGAGGCCCUUUAUGCCAAACACCCCCACACCUUUACAGAUCAUGCUGAUGUAUUUAAGCGUCCAUCACCAGUUCAUCUGUGUCAGCUGUGGAACCGUGGGACUGAUGUUUCAGAAGAACUGUGUUUCGGAGAAACUAGGCUAUAACUACAAAUUAUUCUUACACACAAUUCAGGAUUUGUGUAGCAUUAGGAAGCUGCUUAAAGCAACACCACUAAAGAAACUAACAAUAAAAGACAACCUUGAAAAGCAUAUAAUUUUUCAGGAGUUAUCAGGAAAAGAUCACACUGUAAGACUCCAUUAUAGUUCCAGCUACUUUUUUAUGUAUCUGACAGUGACUGCAUCCAUGUCCACACAGCACAUGCUCAAGCACACUAGUGGAUGAACUGCAUCUGAAAUUGGUCCAACCUGGCUGCACAAGGAACUCUUUGGUCAACACAAUUCUUAAAAUUAGAGGGUAUGAGAUGAGAAAGAGAACCAUCUGGGCAUAUGUAUCAGGACCCAGGGUUUGACUGACCCGUCACAUGGUCUGGCAGCACCUACAGUGGUUGAAAUCAGGACCACCCAAGCACGCCCAGGAUCCACUGGCAUCUUUCACUGUCAGUAUGGUCAUCUUGUCCUUGCCAUGCAAAAGGCAUCCCACUCCUCAGACUGACCACAUUUGUAGCUGGCCGAUCUGUUUCUUGGCAACCAGAAGGCAAGCUGUUGUGUCUGCCAGCCUUCCCCACUGGUCAUGUGUCUCGCUCCCCAUGACCAAUGGGGAAAACCAAUAUUACUGGUGAAAACCGGUAUUACACUGAGCCCCAGCCCUUGCUGUGGUGGUGGAUGUGGCCAGGAAAUUAA
rnacentral:lncRNA from 10 species